rnacentral:rRNA from 1 species
UACGUAGGGGGCGAGCGUUGUCCGGAUUCAUUGGGCGUAAAGAGCUCGUAGGCGGUUCAGUAAGUCGGGUGUGAAAUCUCCGUGCUCAACACGGAGCGGCCACCUGAUACUGCUGUGACUCGAGUCCGGUAGGGGAGUGUGGAAUUCCCGGUGUAGCGGUGAAAUGCGCAGAUAUCGGGAGGAACACCUGUGGCGAAAGCGGCUCACUGGACCACAACUGACGCUGAGGCGCGAAAGCUAGGGGAGCAAACAGG